rnacentral:rRNA from 1 species
CUACGGGGGGCAGCAGUGAGGAAUAUUGCGCAAUGGGGGAAACCCUGACGCAGCGACGCCGCGUGGAUGAUGAAGGCCUUAGGGUCGUAAAAUCCUGUCAGGUGGGAAGAAGUGGAUAUAGAUUAAUACUCUAUUUCUUUGACGGUACCACCAAAGGAAGCACCGGCUAACUCCGUGCCAGCAGCCGCGGUAAUACGGAGGGUGCAAACGUUGUUCGGAAUUACUGGGCGUAAAGCGCGCGUAGGCGGUUUGUUAAGUCAGAUGUGAAAGUCCAUGACUCAACUAUGGAAGUGCAUUUGAACUGGCAGACUUGAGUACUGGAGGGGGUGAUGGAAUUCCCGGUGUAGAGGUGAAAUUCGUAGAUAUCGGGAGGAAUACCGGUGGCGAAGGCGAUCACCUGGCCAGAUACUGACGCUGAGGUGCGAAAGCGUGGGGAGCAAACAGGAUUAGAUACCCGAGUAGUC